AAUUAGCUAAGAUCUCCCUUAUCACAACUCUUCUUCUUCCAUCCUAAGGCUUAUUGGAAAGCUAAAAAUGAGCUCUAUAUUCUUCCAAAUUCUCAAAAUAAAAAGAAAAAAAUCCACUAAAUAGCAUAGAAAUUUCCAAACCAAGCUUGAAUUUUGCCACCUAAAAAUUUUAGCAAAACCUCUUCAAUAAAUUCAUAUGAAUCUCUCCUGUCACAACUCUUUUUCUUAAGUGAAAUAGCUUUUUGGAAAUUUAACAAUAAGAUCUAGUUUCUCUCAAAAUUUCAAAACAAAAAGAUGAAAAUUCAGAAAAUGCAAUAGGAAACCUCAAACCAGUCUUGAAUUUUGUCAUCCAAAAAACUCCAACGACUCCUUUUCACAAAUUUUCUUGGAUUUUCCUCUUCGUAUUUCUAUUUCUUAUGGGCUUUAGAUUUUUGAAAAGAAAAAAAUAAGAUCUAGAUUUUCUCAAAAUUUU
rnacentral:lncRNA from 1 species